rnacentral:rRNA from 1 species
UCAGACGAUGCGUCAUGCAUAUCAAUAAGCGGAGGAAAAGAAACUAACAAGGAUUCCCCUAGUAACGGCGAGUGAAGCGGGAAGAGCUCAAAUUUGAAAUCUUAAAGGGUUUCCCUUUACGAAUUGUAGUUUAAAGAAGUGUUUUCUGUUGAGGUUUUGGUAAAAGUUCUUUGGAAUAGGACAUCAUAGAGGGUGAGAAUCCCGUAUUUGACCUUUACUUUCAACUUUGUGAUACACUUUCAAAGAGUCGGAUUGUUUGGGAAUGCAGUCCAAAAUGGGUGGUAAAUUUCAUCUAAAGCUAAGUAUUGGCGAGAGACCGAUAGCGAACAAGUACCGUGAGGGAAAGAUGAAAAGAACUUUGAAAAGAGAGUUAAACAGUACGUGAAAUUGUCAAAAGGGAAGCGUUUGACACCAGUGUUGUUUUUCUGAAAAUCAAUUAAAGAACUGCUUAUGCUAAGCUGUUUAGACUUUAUCAGCUAUCUGUUUAGUUUUGAGCUUUUCUUAAUGCACUUUUCAGUUAACAAGUCAACAUCAAUCUCUUUUGUUGUAAAAAAGCUUGAGGAAGGUGGCUUGAGAUUCGUCUUAAGUGUUUAUAGCCUCUUGCCUAUGCAGUCGGAGAGAUUGAGGUCUGCAGCGUAGAUCCUUCGGGGCUAAAUGCAUUUGUGCUAAGUUAUAGCAUUUUAUAGACAACUUGUUGACUAUGAUUUGUCUUGUAGCUUACUCGCUUAUGUUAUUUUACCUACGCUUAGGAUGUUGAAGUCAUCGUAUCGCGC